rnacentral:rRNA from 1 species
UACCCUAUUAUAUUAGGUGUUAUUUUUUUACUUGGGUAGUAUUAGUUAUGUUCUUGAAACCUAAAGAAUUUGGCGGUAUUUUAUACUUUUCAGAGGAACCUGUUCUUUAAUUGAUAAUCCACGAUUGUAGUUACUUAUGUUUGUAUUCAGUUUUUAUAUCUCCGUCAUAAGAAUAUUUUUAUAGAAAAAAUUUUCUUGAUUGUUCAAUACCACAAUGUCAGGUCAAGGUGAAACUUAUACAUAAGUAGAAAUGGGUUACAAUAAAUUUAUUUAUACGGAUAGUCUUUAUUAUGAUUUGCUUGAAGGAGGAUUUGGGAGUAAAUUUAUUUAUUAAAUUUAUUGAUCUUAGCUCUAAAUUAUGUACACCAUCGCC